GACGAACCGUGCAAACGUUAUUCGGAAUCACUGGGCAUAAAGGGCGCGUAGGCGGCUUUCUAAGUCAGGGGUGAAAUCCGGCAGCUCAACUGCAGGGCUGCCUCCUAGACUGUCGGGCUUGAGCACGGUAGAGGCAGAUGGAAUUCCCGGUGUAGCGGUGGAAUGCGUAGAGAUCGGGAAGAACAUCGGUGGCGAAGGCGGCCUGCUGGGCUCUUGCUGACACUGAGGCGCGACAGCGUGGGGAGCAAACAGGG
rnacentral:rRNA from 1 species